UACGGGGGGAGCAAGCGUUGUUCGGAUUUACUGGGCGUAAAGGGCGCGUAGGCGGCCACCGCAAGUCGGUUGUGAAAUCUCUGGGCUUAACCCAGAAAGGUCAACCGAUACUGCGGGGCUAGAGUGCAGAAGGGGCAACUGGAAUUCUCGGUGUAGCGGUGAAAUGCGUAGAUAUCGAGAGGAACACCUGCGGCGAAGGCGGGUUGCUGGGCUGACACUGACGCUGAAGCGCGAAAGCUAGGGGAGCAAACAGG
rnacentral:rRNA from 1 species